GACGGAGGAUGCAAGCGUUAUCCGGAAUGAUUGGGCGUAAAGCGUCUGCAGGUGGCAGUUCAAGUCUGCUGUCAAAGACCGGGGCUUAACUUCGGGAAAGGCAGUGGAAACUGAACAGCUAGAGUAGUGGUAGGGGCAGAGGGAAUUCCUGGUGUAGCGGUGAAAUGGCGUAGAGAUCAGGAAGAACAUCGGUGGCGAAGGCGCUCUGCUGGACCAUAACUGACACUCAGGGACGAAAGCUAGGGGAGCGAAUGGG
rnacentral:rRNA from 1 species